rnacentral:rRNA from 1 species
CAGUCGCCACGGUAAUACGAAGGGUGCAAGCGUUACUCGGAAUUACUGGGCGUAAAGCGUACGUAGGUGGUGGUUUAAGUCCGUUGUGAAAGCCCUGGGCUCAACCUGGGAAUUGCAGUGGAUACUGGAUCACUAGAGUGUGGUAGAGGAUAGUGGAAUUUCCGGUGUAGCAGUGAAAUGCGUAGAGAUCGGAAGGAACAUCUGUGGCGAAGGCGACUAUCUGGGCCAACACUGACACUGAGGCACGAAAGCGUGGGGAGCAAACAGGAUUAGAUACCCCAGUAGUCCCUGUCUCUUAUAC